GAUGAACGCUGGCGGCGUGCCUAAUACAUGCAAGUCGAGCGAACAGAUGAGGAGCUUGCUCCUCUGACGUUAGCGGCGGACGGGUGAGUAACACGUGGAUAACCUACCUAUAAGACUGGGAUAACUUCGGGAAACCGGAGCUAAUACCGGAUAAUAUAUUGAACCGCAUGGUUCAAUAGUGAAAGACGGUUUUGCUGUCACUUAUAGAUGGAUCCGCGCCGCAUUAGCUAGUUGGUAAGGUAACGGCUUAUCAAGGCAACGAUGCGUAGCCGACCUGAGAGGGUGAUCGGCCACACUGGAACUGAGACACGGUCCAGACUCCGACGGGAGGCAGCAGUAGGGAAUCUUCCGCAAUGGGCGAAAGCCUGACGGAGCAACGCCGCGUGAGUGAUGAAGGUCUUCGGAUCGUAAAACUCUGUUAUUAGGGAAGAACAAAUGUGUAAGUAACUAUGCACGUCUUGACGGUACCUAAUCAGAAAGCCACGGCUAACUACGUG
rnacentral:rRNA from 1 species